rnacentral:tRNA from 1 species
GGGGUUGUGGCUCAGCGGUAGAGCGCUUGCCUCACAUGUGUGAGGCACUGGGUUCAAUUCUCAGCACCA